rnacentral:rRNA from 1 species
AGAGUUUGAUCCUGGCUCAGAACGAACGCUGGCGGCAUGCCUAACACAUGCAAGUCGAACGGGAUCCUGGCUUCGGCCAGGUGAGAGUGGCGGACGGGUGAGUAACGCGUGGGAACCUGCCCAUUGGUCUGGGAUAACUGCGGGAAACUGCAGCUAAUACCGGAUGUACCCGAGAGGGGAAAGAUUUAUCGCCGAUGGAGGGGCCCGCGUCAGAUUAGGUAGUUGGUGAGGUAACGGCUCACCAAGCCUACGAUCUGUAGCUGGUCUGAGAGGAUGAUCAGCCACACUGGGACUGAGAUACGGCCCAGACUCCUACGGGAGGCAGCAGUGGGGAAUAUUGGACAAUGGGGGCAACCCUGAUCCAGCAAUGCCGCGUGAGUGAUGAAGGCCUUAGGGUUGUAAAGCUCUUUUACCAGGGACGAUGAUGACGGUACCUGGAGAAUAAGCCCCGGCUAACUUCGUG